GUGCUCACUUUGGUAGCACACAGGCUAAAAUUGGAACGAUACAGUGAAGAUUAGCAUGGCCCCUGCGUAAGGAUGACGUGUAAAUUUGUGAAGCGUUCCAUAUUUUG